GGAGGGGUGCAGGAGUGGUUGAACUGGGCUGCCUGCUAAGCAGUUAUGGCUUAACCGCCAUCGUGGGUUCGAAUCCCACCUCCUCCGCCA
rnacentral:tRNA from 1 species